UCAGUCUCUGAAAUGCUUAGAGAAGCAUAUAACAUGCAUGAAUGUAACAUAUACACUGUUAUGAAGUGUAUUAUGAUAAAUACUAUAUGGUAAGGCAAUGAUAACAUCAAUUGCUAUUAGCUUGAACCAUAAAACAUAAUUGGCCUAUUCAACUUCUUCCUUCAUAAACUUUUACUUGGCCAUUACAGUGAUCCGACUUUGGUUUCUUAGGAAGGAAAUGCUUAUUAUCUGUUUAAACAGACACAAAGAAUUAAUGAAAACUUAUCUAUAUUCUAAAUAUUGCUAGUUAGGUUAUAAAGUUUUAAUCUGUAUAACAUUUUUUAUAACUUUAUAACUUUCUGUUUGUUUUAAUAGACAAAUUCUUGGUCCCCUUCAAGUAAUAAAUACACCUAGAAAAUACAACUAAGAUGUUUCCAAAAAUUUACAUUAACCUGAGUUGAAGAAUGAGGUUUUAUUCUUAAAACAUAUAGGUUUUUGUGUCCCCUUUCAUAAGCCCAGUGAAGUCUCUGAUUGUUGAUGAGUGAUAUGCUCGUAUCACUUUAAAAAAUAUUGUAGCUGAUUAGGAUGAAUCCUCAGGCGUUCAGAUUAUUUUUCUUUUUGUUUUCUUUUGUUUUCCCCUUUCCUCUUUCUUUUUUGAUCAUUUUCUCUGAAUUGCAAAGAAUAAUUAUCAAUCCAAAUUAGACUUUUAAAAAAUGGUGUGCAUCAAUUAUUUGCAAGAUUUAAUCCUCUUAUUUAGUACAAUUCAUUUAUUAUACACCCACCUUAUUCUCAGCAUUGUGCUUGUCUUGGUAAAUAGCAAGAACUUCCAGUUCCUCUUAACUAUUCCCAGAUGGUAUUGGUGAAUUCCUAUCCCUGACUGUCAAAUAAAUGUUCUAGUAGAAACACAGUCCUCUAAAUCACACACUCUGCUGAUGUGCUGAUUUGAGAUACCAGUGCCAAUUUUCCUGUUGCUUCAGAGAUAUCUUUGUGUCAGUGCCCUUUGAUAUCUUUGGUCUGAAGAUGAUCCUAAGUGUGGGUAUUCCAUAUGUGACGUAAGGUCCACAGCCCAGCCGGUGCUGGCCUGUCUUUCCUUCCCUCCAGUGCACACACAGAACAGCAUCUUAUUUGCAGCUCUCACCUGCACAAUCACCUACCAUUUGUCCCUUUGCUUCUGCCAAUACAAACUGGCCAGUACUAGGAAUUGAACUCAGGGGCACUUGACCAUUGAAUCACAUCCCGAGCCCUAUUUUUUAUUUUAUUUAGAGAUAGGGUCUCGCUGAGUUGCUUAACACCUCACUUUUGCUGAGGCUGUCUUUGAACUUACGAUCCUCCUGCCUCAGCCUCCCAAGCCACUGGACUUACAGACGGGCACCACCACUGGCUCUGGCCAGUGA
rnacentral:lncRNA from 1 species